rnacentral:rRNA from 1 species
GGGUUGUGAGGUUAAGCGACUAAGCGUACACGGUGGAUGCCCUGGCAGUCAGAGGCGAUGAAGGACGUGCUAAUCUGCGAUAAGCGUCGGUGAGGUGAUAUGAACCGUUAUAACCGGCGAUUUCCGAAUGGGGAAACCCAGUGUGUUUCGACACACUAUCAUUAACUGAAUCCAUAGGUUAAUGAGGCGAACCGGGGGAACUGAAACAUCUAAGUACCCCGAGGAAAAGAAAUCAACCGAGAUUCCCCCAGUAGCGGCGAGCGAACGGGGAGGAGCCCAGAGCCUGAAUCAGUGUGUGUGUUAGUGGAAGCGUCUGGAAAGGCGCGCGAUACAGGGUGACAGCCCCGUACACAAAAAUGCACAUACUGUGAGCUCGAUGAGUAGGGCGGGACACGUGGUAUCCUGUCUGAAUAUGGGGGGACCAUCCUCCAAGGCUAAAUACUCCUGACUGACCGAUAGUGAACCAGUACCGUGAGGGAAAGGCGAAAAGAACCCCGGCGAGGGGAGUGAAAAAGAACCUGAAACCGUGUACGUACAAGCAGUGGGAGCCUCUUAAUGGGGUGACUGCGUACCUUUUGUAUAAUGGGUCAGCGACUUAUAUUCUGUAGCAAGGUUAACCGAAUAGGGGAGCCGAAGGGAAACCGAGUCUUAACUGGGCGUUAAGUUGCAGGGUAUAGACCCGAAACCCGGUGAUCUAGCCAUGGGCAGGUUGAAGGUUGGGUAACACUAACUGGAGGACCGAACCGACUAAUGUUGAAAAAUUAGCGGAUGACUUGUGGCUGGGGGUGAAAGGCCAAUCAAACCGGGAGAUAGCUGGUUCUCCCCGAAAGCUAUUUAGGUAGCGCCUCGUGAAUUCAUCUCCGGGGGUAGAGCACUGUUUCGGCAAGGGGGUCAUCCCGACUUACCAACCCGAUGCAAACUGCGAAUACCGGAGAAUGUUAUCACGGGAGACACACGGCGGGUGCUAACGUCCGUCGUGAAGAGGGAAACAACCCAGACCGCCAGCUAAGGUCCCAAAGUCAUGGUUAAGUGGGAAACGAUGUGGGAAGGCCCAGACAGCCAGGAUGUUGGCUUAGAAGCAGCCAUCAUUUAAAGAAAGCGUAAUAGCUCACUGGUCGAGUCGGCCUGCGCGGAAGAUGUAACGGGGCUAAACCAUGCACCGAAGCUGCGGCAGCGACGCUGAUGCGUUGUUGGGUAGGGGAGCGUUCUGUAAGCCUGUGAAGGUGGCCUGUGAGGGUUGCUGGAGGUAUCAGAAGUGCGAAUGCUGACAUAAGUAACGAUAAAGCGGGUGAAAAGCCCGCUCGCCGGAAGACCAAGGGUUCCUGUCCAACGUUAAUCGGGGCAGGGUGAGUCGACCCCUAAGGCGAGGCCGAAAGGCGUAGUCGAUGGGAAACAGGUUAAUAUUCCUGUACUUGGUGUUACUGCGAAGGGGGGACGGAGAAGGCUAUGUUGGCCGGGCGACGGUUGUCCCGGUUUAAGCGUGUAGGCUGGUUUUCCAGGCAAAUCCGGAAAAUCAAGGCUGAGGCGUGAUGACGAGGCACUACGGUGCUGAAGCGACAAAUGCCCUGCUUCCAGGAAAAGCCUCUAAGCAUCAGGUAACAUCAAAUCGUACCCCAAACCGACACAGGUGGUCAGGUAGAGAAUACCAAGGCGCUUGAGAGAACUCGGGUGAAGGAACUAGGCAAAAUGGUGCCGUAACUUCGGGAGAAGGCACGCUGAUAUGUAGGUGAAGCGACUUGCUCGUGGAGCUGAAAUCAGUCGAAGAUACCAGCUGGCUGCAACUGUUUAUUAAAAACACAGCACUGUGCAAACACGAAAGUGGACGUAUACGGUGUGACGCCUGCCCGGUGCCGGAAGGUUAAUUGAUGGGGUUAGCGGUAACGCGAAGCUCUUGAUCGAAGCCCCGGUAAACGGCGGCCGUAACUAUAACGGUCCUAAGGUAGCGAAAUUCCUUGUCGGGUAAGUUCCGACCUGCACGAAUGGCGUAAUGAUGGCCAGGCUGUCUCCACCCGAGACUCAGUGAAAUUGAACUCGCUGUGAAGAUGCAGUGUACCCGCGGCAAGACGGAAAGACCCCGUGAACCUUUACUAUAGCUUGACACUGAACAUUGAGCCUUGAUGUGUAGGAUAGGUGGGAGGCUUUGAAGUGUGGACGCCAGUCUGCAUGGAGCCGACCUUGAAAUACCACCCUUUAAUGUUUGAUGUUCUAACGUGGGCCCCUUACCGGGGUUGCGGACAGUGUCUGGUGGGUAGUUUGACUGGGGCGGUCUCCUCCUAAAGAGUAACGGAGGAGCACGAAGGUUGGCUAAUCCUGGUCGGACAUCAGGAGGUUAGUGCAAUGGCAUAAGCCAGCUUGACUGCGAGCGUGACGGCGCGAGCAGGUGCGAAAGCAGGUCAUAGUGAUCCGGUGGUUCUGAAUGGAAGGGCCAUCGCUCAACGGAUAAAAGGUACUCCGGGGAUAACAGGCUGAUACCGCCCAAGAGUUCAUAUCGACGGCGGUGUUUGGCACCUCGAUGUCGGCUCAUCACAUCCUGGGGCUGAAGUAGGUCCCAAGGGUAUGGCUGUUCGCCAUUUAAAGUGGUACGCGAGCUGGGUUUAGAACGUCGUGAGACAGUUCGGUCCCUAUCUGCCGUGGGCGCUGGAGAACUGAGGGGGGCUGCUCCUAGUACGAGAGGACCGGAGUGGACGCAUCACUGGUGUUCGGGUUGUCAUGCCAAUGGCACUGCCCGGUAGCUAAAUGCGGAAGAGAUAAGUGCUGAAAGCAUCUAAGCACGAAACUUGCCCCGAGAUGAGUUCUCCCUGAGACUUAGAGUCUCCUGAAGGAACGUUGAAGACGACGACGUUGAUAGGCCGGGUGUGUAAGCGCAGCGAUGCGUUGAGCUAACCGGUACUAAUGAACCGUGAGGCUUAACCUUACAACGCCGAAG